AUUGAACGCUGGCGGCAUGCCUUACACAUGCAAGUCGAACGGCAGCACGGGGCAACCUGGUGGCGAGUGGCGAACGGGUGAGUAAUGCAUCGGAACGUACCUUUCAGUGGGGGAUAACGUAGCGAAAGUUACGCUAAUACCGCAUAUUCUGUGAGCAGGAAAGCAGGGGAUCGCAAGACCUUGCGCUGAUUGAGCGGCCGAUGUCAGAUUAGCUAGUUGGUGUGGUAAAGGCUCACCAAGGCGACGAUCUGUAGCGGGUCUGAGAGGAUGAUCCGCCACACUGGAACUGAGACACGGUCCAGACUCCUACGGGAGGCAGCAGUGGGGAAUUUUGGACAAUGGGGGCAACCCUGAUCCAGCCAUGCCGCGUGAGUGAAGAAGGCCUUCGGGUUGUAAAGCUUUUUCGGCCGGGAAGAAAUCGCACGGGCUAAUACCCUGUGUGGAUGACGGUACCGGAAUAAGAAGCACCGGCUAACUACGUGCCAGCCGCCGCCGUAAGAC
rnacentral:rRNA from 1 species